rnacentral:rRNA from 1 species
AGCGAACGCUGGCGGCAGGCUUAACACAUGCAAGUCGAGCGGGCGUAGCAAUACGUCAGCGGCAGACGGGUGAGUAACACGUGGGAACGUACCUUUUGGUUCGGAACAACACAGGGAAACUUGUGCUAAUACCGAAUAAGCCCUUACGGGGAAAGAUUUAUCGCCGAAAGAUCGGCCCGCGUCUGAUUAGCUUGUUGGUGAGGUAACGGCUCACCAAGGCGACGAUCAGUAGCGGUCUGAGAGGAUGAUCAGCCACACUGGGACUGAGACACGGCCCAGACUCCUACGGGAGGCAGCAGUGGGGAAGUAUUGGACAAUGGGGGCAACCCUGAUCCAGCCAUGCCGCGUGAGUGAUGAA